rnacentral:tRNA from 1 species
GGAGGCGUCGCAUAGCGGUCUAGUGCACCAUCUUGGAAAGGUGGCGUACCGAAAGGUACCGAGAGUUCGAAUCUCUCCGCCUCCG